AGUGCCUUUGGUGGACCCAUCAGCAGACUGCACAGGGCUGCGGGAGGAACCACUGAGUCAACAGGGACUUCCCAAACUGAAAGGCAAAGAGGAAAAAAAAAAAAAGGAACAGAAUACCCAAGAACAGGAACAAUUACAAACGUGUAACACGUGCAAGGGAAAUACUAGAAGGAGAAGAAAGCGAGAAAGGAACAGAAUAAAGAUGGGAAGUAGUAAUGGCUGAGAAUUUUCCGAAGUUGCUGACAGACACCACAGCACAGAUCCAGGGAGCUGGGAGAACACCGAGCAGGACAAAUGCCAGAAAACCACACCUUGGCACGUCGUCUUCGAGCUGCAGAAAAUCAAUGACAAAAAGAAAGUCUUGAAAGAAUUCAGAGAAUAAUCACCUUCCCGGUACGGGGACAAGGCCAAGGAUUACAUCAAACUUCUCUUCAGAAACCACGUGAGCACUGAGAGUGGAGGUAAAUACCUAAGAUGCUGGAAGAAAGCAAGCACCGACCUAGAAUUCUGUACCGAGUGAACUACUCUUCCAAACUGAAGGAGAAAUAAAGACUUGACCAGACAAGCAAAAACAGAGGGAACUGUUGCCAGCAGACCUGCCUGGCAAGGAAGUUCCAAGCAGCUCUUCCGAGAAGGAAAGCAAUGCCGGCCAGAAGCUCGAUCUGCACAAAGGAGGAGGAGAUUUCAAGAAGGAAGGUUCCCACGCGCAGAUAACGCCUUCUCCCUGCCACGGCCAGUGCAGACGCUGUUUGUGUGCCGCCCAGGCGGGCUCCUUCCAGCUCUCAGAGUAAAUGCCUGUGCCCGACUCCUUGGCUGUCUCUCCUCUCUGGGGAUCCGGGCACCUUUCAGCACCUACUAAUGUGACACAUUUGUGAAGUUUGCACUGAUGAGGAUGAUGAAGAAGAGCGGUGGUGGGUAUAAAAUGAGAACACUUCCCAUCUGUGCAUGGUCCGCUCUGAGUUAAGAGUAGGUUAAAGAGGGAGGGGUCGGGAAUUAGGGGAGUCAGGACAAAGCAAACCCUGGAAGAGGUGAACCCCCAGUCUGGCCACCCAGAAGUUUCCCUCAAGGAGCCUCCUGAAUGGUUUCUUAACAAUCCUGUUUAUUCACGGCAGGAGACAUUUCACUGUGUUUGAGGAUGUAUUUAAUUACUGUCAUGUUGGUAAUGAAGAGCCUCUCCACCUAUAAAUGUAACCGUAACCAAAACCGUAGUUGCCCCAUCUUUUCUUACCGCCCCCCGCCAAAGUAUCCCCUUCCAUUCAAAGCUAAUUCAAAACCCCCUCCCAUGCCCCCUCCACCUCUCAGAGGUUCCCCAUCAAUUACUCGUUUCAUCUAGUAUCUGCCUCCUUAGUUUAUUCCCAAACAUUUCUCACCUUAAAAAUAACCUCCCUUGGUUCUCCUUGUUCUCUCACAUUCCUUUUCCAUUACAGCUUCUAGAAAGAAGAGCCAGCACCCGUCUCACCUUCCUGCAGGUGGGAUCACCUGGGGAGCCUCAAUCCCCUGCCGCUUGGCACCCUCUGCCCCUCCUGUUCACAGUAAUUUCUCAGCCCUUCCUCUCCUUAGAUGACCUCACCUCCUAUGUCAGCCUCGAUUGUCUCACAUGUCUGCCUGUGUUGCUCCCAGAGAAAUGAAGCAAAGAGCUGCCCGUGCCCCUGGUGGCUUUGGCCCAGCACAAGGGCCCCUUGCCAGCACGGCACCCACGCUCCUCGUCCCCGGUCCUGGUGGCUCCAGGCCCUGCCCGACCCCUCCAGGUGCCCCACACCUGCGCCCUGGCUCACAGGUAGCUUUGAAUGGGCUCCCUUCCCGCUGUCUGAGCUUUGGAGGAGAGUGUUUUUCCACCUUUAAACAUCUACGCCCAGCACAGAUCUUGGGCCUUUGUAAGUUUGGUGAAUAACUAAAAUUAAUACUCAGUUCUCGUC